rnacentral:tRNA from 1 species
GGCUCGGUAGCUUAGUUGGUAAAGCGCUACAAGAGUCUUGGGUUCAAAUCCCAGCCGAGCAC